CCAAUAGCGUAUAUUAAAGUUGUUGCAGUUAAAAAGCUCGUAGUUGAAUUUCGGAAUCAAUAUAUCGGUCGUGCCUCUGGUACGCACUUAUUUAUUGAUUUCUCACUUCUGACGAAUCAUAAUGUCAUUAGUUUGGUGUUAUGAGGAAUCAGGACUGUUACUUUGAAAAAAUUAGAGGGUUUAAAGCAGGCUCGCGCUUGAAUACAUGAGCAUGGAAUAAUGAAAUAGGAUGUUUGAUCUUAUUUUGUUGGUUUCUAGGAUCGACAUAAUGAUUAAUAGGGAUAGUUGGGGGCAUUAGUAUUCAAUUGUCAGAGGUGAAAUUCUUGGAUUUAUUGAAGACUAACUACUGCGAAAGCAUUUGCCAAGGAUGUUUUCAUUAAUCAAGAACGAAAGUUAGGGGAUCGAAGACGAUCAGAUACCGUCGUAGUCUUAACCAUAAACUAUGCCGACUAGGGAUCGGAUGAUGUUAUUUUUUAAUGACUCAUUCGGCACCUUACG
rnacentral:misc_RNA from 1 species